rnacentral:rRNA from 1 species
AUUGAACGCUGGCGGCAGGCCUAACACAUGCAAGUCGAGCGGAUGAAGGGAGCUUGCUCCUGGAUUCAGCGGCGGACGGGUGAGUGAUGCCUAGGAAUCUGCCUGGUAGUGGGGGAUAACGUCCGGAAACGGGCGCUAAUACCGCAUACGUCCUGAGGGAAAAAGUGGGGGAUCUUCGGACCACACGCUAUCAGAUGAGCCUAGGUCGGAUUAGCUAGUUGGUGGGGUAAAGGCCUACCAAGGCGACGAUCCGUAACUGGUCUGAGAGGAUGAUCAGUCACACUGGAACUGAGACACGGUCCAGACUCCUACGGGAGGCAGCAGUGGGGAAUAUUGGACAAUGGGCGAAAGCCUGAUCCAGCCAUGCCGCGUGUGUGAAGAAGGUCUUCGGAUUGUAAAGCACUUUAAGUUGGGAGGAAGGGCAGUAAGUUAAUACCUUGCUGUUUUGACGUUACCAACAGAAUAAGCACCGGCUAACUUCGUG